rnacentral:rRNA from 1 species
AGAGUUUGAUCCUGGCUCAGGAUGAACGCUGGCGGUAUGCUUUACACAUGCAAGUCGUACGAGAGUUUUUAACUCAAGUGGCGGACGGGUGAGUAACACGUAAGAAUUUACCUUUAGGAGGGGGACAACAACUGGAAACGGUUGCUAAUACCCCAUAUGCUUUCGAGUGAAAUGGAUUUUCCGCCUAAAGAGAAGCUUGCGGCUGAUUAGCUUGUUGGGGAGGUAAUGGCUCACCAAGGCGACGAUCAGUAUCUGGUUUGAGAGGACGAUCAGACACACUGGAACUGAGACACGGUCCAGACUCCUACGGGAGGCAGCAGUGGGGAAUUUUCCGCAAUGGGCGAAAGCCUGACGGAGCAAUACCGCGUGAGGGAUGACGGCCUAUGGGUUGUAAACCUCUUUUUUCAGGGAGGAAUAAAUGACGUGUACCUGAAGAAUAAGCAUCGGCUAACUCCGUGCCAGCAGCCGCGGUAAGACGGAGGAUGCAAGUGUUAUCCGGAAUCACUGGGCGUAAAGCGUCUGUA